AUUGAACGCUGGCGGCAGGCUUAACACAUGCAAGUCGAGCGGUAACAGGCCUUCGGGUGCUGACGAGCGGCGGACGGGUGAGUAACGCGUAGGAACCUGCCUGAUAGUGGGGGAUAGCCCGGCGAAAGCCGGAUUAAUACCGCAUACGCUCUACGGAGGAAAGGGGGCUGCGGCUCCCGCUAUCAGAUGGGCCUGCGUAGGAUUAGCUAGUUGGUAGGGUAAGGGCCUACCAAGGCGACGAUCCUUAGCUGGUCUGAGAGGAUGAUCAGCCACACUGGGACUGAGACACGGCCCAGACUCCUACGGGAGGCAGCAGUGGGGAAUAUUGGACAAUGGGGGAAACCCUGAUCCAGCCAUGCCGCGUGUGUGAAGAAGGCCUUCGGGUUGUAAAGCACUUUCAGUGGGGAGGAAGGCUUGGUGGUUAAUACCCAUCAGGAUUGACGUUACCCACAGAAGAAGCACCGGCUAACUCCGUGCCAGCCGCCGCCGUAA
rnacentral:rRNA from 1 species